GACGAACGCUGGCGGCGUGCUUAGCACAUGCAAGUCGAACGCUGAAGCUUGGUGCUUGCCCUGGGUGGAUGAGUGGCGAACGGGUGAGUAAUACGUGAGUAACCUGCCCUUGACUCUGGGAUAAGCCUGGGAAACUGGGUCUAAUACUGGAUACGACAUGUCACCGCAUGGUGGUGUGUGGAAAGGGUUUUACUGGUUUUGGAUGGGCUCACGGCCUAUCAGCUUGUUGGUGGGGUAAUGGCUCACCAAGGCGACGACGGGUAGCCGGCCUGAGAGGGUGACCGGCCACACUGGGACUGAGACACGGCCCAGACUCCUACGGGAGGCAGCAGUGGGGAAUAUUGCACAAUGGGCGGAAGCCUGAUGCAGCGACGCCGCGUGAGGGAUGACGGCCUUCGGGUUGUAAACCUCUUUCAGCACGGAAGAAGCGAAAGUGACGGUACGUGCAGAAGAAGCGCCGGCUAACUACGUG
rnacentral:rRNA from 1 species